GAUGGUUGAUUAGGGAUAGUAUAUAAAAGGGCGAAACACAUUAAUGGGUGUUCAGUGGAUGCUUCUGAAGAAAAGUAGAUAGUGAUAGGGCUACAGUAAAAGUACUAGGUGCUAUAGAUAGUGAGUGGACCACUAGAAUGGGUAGCCAAGACCCCAACAAGGAGUAAGUGGCUUAGGAGCCAAGGCUUUGCCAGUGAGGGUUGGAGUGUUAGGGGGAACACAAACAUCCUGAAGGAGGGACGCAAGAAAAAUCCUAUCUGGAGUAGGCCAGAGGGGCAUAGGACGUAUGCCGGACUGGUAGGAGCAGAAGCUGGAAAAUUCCUAUCCUAAAAGGUGCUGUAACAUCUGCAGAGAAUGUAUCUGGGACUGAGGGCAAAUCUGUGUAUCUCACAGUGAAGUUGGAUCUCCCUGCAAUGCGGCAGGUACAAUGGAGGGUUAAUACCAGCAUGAUAAUUGUAACUGUAUUACCUGGCGGCCCUCCUUCUUAUACUGAUAAUUAUAGAGGCAGAUGCCACCUGUAUGAUAAUACAACUCUCCGACUGGACAAUCUCACUCACGCAGACACAGGGGAAUAUUCACUCUCUGUCACCAACCAGAGCAGCGGAGCCACAGUGACAGGAUCAGUUUAUCUCACAGUUUACAAGAAGCAAGAGAAAUCAGAUUGUACCGUUGAUCCUGUAAUGACACGAUCAUAAGUGUUUGGUGCUUGGGCGCCUGUAUUCUCAUAUACUGGACUUGUGGGAGCGUCUGUUAAAGAAAAAAAACAUGAUUCAGAAUAUAUGGAGGAGAAACUGAUUAUGGAUGGAGGAUGAGCCAAGCUUUAAAAUCAUAACUUCUGUCUUGUUUUUAUGGUUAAUUUGCUUGAAGUACUCGAGUGGUAUAUUACUAAGGCUUCUUGGUUGGCUUUAUCUGCACUAGUGAUACAUUGUUUUUUAUUUUAGCUAUGGGAAUGUAUUGUGUAUGAAUGUAAUAUCAAUCUGGGUGUGCACUGAAACACUGGGUGUGAUUGCCCCACACUAAUUCAAUGGAACUCCUCAAUGAUCAUGGCCUGAAGCAUAUAAAAUAUAGAAGAGUAAGUAGGGCAAUAUACCAAAGAGACAAUUAUUAAAAAAAACCUCUCAUGUCCUGAGUUUCUGCAACAGAUACUUACACAGCCACACACCUUUAUGGGUUGUUAUGUAAUGGAGCAAGGCUAUAGCAGCUAUAUCUUGCCAAUAGUUAUACAAGUACUGAGCUUACAUUUCAACAUUUUCAUGCUGCACCUAUCAGCUGAAUUAAUGUGUUUAUUAUAACCUACCUUUUAAAUGAUUAGCUCUAUUAUAUAUCUGAAAAAAUGUUGAAAAGCAGCUAUUUGCUUUAAAAUGUUAUACAAAACAUUAUUUUGUCUAAAGAUCGCAAAAUAAGAUUGGUGAUGAUUUAGAGGAAAGAGAAUGCAUACAUACAUAAACACCCUUUAAAUUUAAAGGUGUAUCAAAAUGCCACAUGGCUUAUUCCAUGUACCAGCACCCUACAAACAAUGUAAUCCUUUCCUUUAAAAAUAAAAUAAUACUGUCAUUUAAGGUCACAAUUUCAAGAUUGUUUUAACAAUUUAAGAUUGAGUCAAUUAUUUGUUUAGGGACAUCUAAUUAUACCAGAAUAAUAGAUAUAUUCUAGGUUUAUAGUUAUACGGUCAGAAGACAUAUGUUGGGGAAGGUCCCAUCACUAAGCACUCACUGUUGUUGUUGUUGUUGUUCUUCUUCUUGCGAAGAAUGAAGAAGAUGGUGAGAGGUAUCAGUGCUACAACAAACAGGACAGAGAUCACAAUGCCGGCUAUUGCACCAGGAGACAGCUGGUUUGAACCUAAAACAUUGAGAACAGAACAUGGAAUUGGUUAUUAAUAGGCACAAUUUUAUCACAAGGAACAAGAAAGCCAGCGAUUCUUCAAAAAUUGUAUUUUUGUUAUAAAGAAGUCACAGCACUAUGUAUGUGUUAUUAUGUUUCCUUAAUAAUGACUUGUCUUGCUGGAUUUGCAGUCUAAAAGAGACAAUGGCAGCAGAAAUUAGUUUUUAAUAUCUAUCAUAACACAGUCUUUGCUUUAUAAUUGUAUUAAAAGACAUCAUUAAAAUGCAUCUGUUCUUCCUACUCUGGGGCAAGAGUUUUGGAGGGCCCUAUACAGUUUCUACACAAUAAUAACCCAAUAGACAAAGUAGGGUCCAUUCAAAAUGUAUUCGCUGAAAUGAGAAUGAAAGACCUUGAUUCUCCUGCACAGAGCCCUGCAACCAAAUGGAAUGCCUGUGUUAAACACCAAACCCUCAUCGUCCAAAAUCAGUGUCAACCUCUGAUGUAUGAAUGAAAGUAAAUCCAACCCAAAUGGUCCAGCAUCUAGUGAAAACCUUCCCAGAAGAGUUAAGGAUAAACCAGGACAACCUUGAUUUCUGAAUGAGAUGUUGACCAGAUGGGUAUCCGCAUAUUGAGUAUAUACAAGGUAUGACCUGUUAAAGUAAAUCAGACAAGUUGGGCCUAAUUACACCUCUUCUAUUUGUAUUUACACUGUUUCCAAAUCGAGGGACAAUCAAAGUUAAAUGUGUGUGCCUUAUUUUUCUGCUAACUUGUUAUUUUUGCGGAUGAUGAAAUGAAAGCUGGCUAAUAGAAAAAUGAUAAAUCUGCUUUCAUGCUGCAGUUAAACCUGUACUGUAUCACUUUUUCUCCCAUCUGUGUUUGUUACUAUGUGUAAAUUUGGGAAUCUGUCCUGUAGUCACACUGUAGAAUAGUAGCAAAGUGUUGUAUAUAACAGGGCCCUCGUGGCUAGUGGGCCCCUGUCACUCAAAGUACACAUGAAAAGCCUUUGCUGCUCCAAAUAAUCCAUGGCCACAAUAAAUGCGAUGAGCACAAAACACUUUUUAUUGCAGGGGGCACAGUAUGCAGAUCAGACCGGGGCUGGCUAAACCUGCAUAAUGCUAACUAUA